rnacentral:rRNA from 1 species
AUGCAACCUACCUUUUGCAGGGGGAUAGCCCAGGGAAACUUGGAUUAAUACCCCAUAGUAUGAUUGAUCGGCAUCGGUUAAUCAUUAAAACUACGGUGGCAAAAGAUGGGCAUGCGUUCUAUUAGCUAGUAGGUGUGGUAACGGCACACCUAGGCAACGAUAGAUAGGGGCCCUGAGAGGGGGAUCCCCCACACUGGUACUGAGACACGGACCAGACUCCUACGGGAGGCAGCAGUGAGGAAUAUUGGACAAUGGGCGGAAGCCUGAUCCAGCCAUGCCGCGUGCAGGAAGACUGCCCUAUGGGUUGUAAACUGCUUUUAUACGGGAAGAAACCUCCCCUCGUGAGGGGAGCUGACGGUACCGUAAGAAUAAGGACCGGCUAACUCCGUGCCAGCAGCCGCGGUAAUACGGAGGGUCCGAGCGUUAUCCGGAAUCAUUGGGUUUAAAGGGUCCGUAGGUGGAUGAUUAAGUCAGAGGUGAAAUCCUGCAGCUCAACUGUAGAAUUGCCUUUGAUACUGGUCAUCUUGAGUCGUCGUGAAGCAGUUAGAAUAUGUAGUGUAGCGGUGAAAUGCAUAGAUAUUACAUAGAAUACCGAUUGCGAAGGCAGAUUGCUAACGACGUACUGACACUGAUGGACGAAAGCGUG